rnacentral:lncRNA from 1 species
CUUGGCCCCGCGGAGCGUGACUGUCUCGGCUGGAAGCGUGGGAGGCCGGAGGAUCAGUGACUGGCUGUCGUGGACAUGCUCGCUACACCUCCCGGGGCUUCGCUUCGUUUACUAUUAACUGUCGUUACUCCUCUGUAUCUCGUCAGCAGGGGCUGCCUGCGGUGUUAGAAUUACACGCCCCUGCCACCUGGGCACGGAGCCCAGUCUCCCGGCCCCUCAGUCAGUCCUUGGGUGUAGCUGGAGCAUUUAAGAAAAAUGAAAUAUAGGAACUCAGUGCAUGGUUUCCUGGGCCUUUUUAUUGAAUAUCAUUUCUAACAUGUACACAGUAUAACCCAGGCUUAGUGGAUUCCGGGACAGAAAAUGUUGGGAGCUGGGAUAGUCAAGUAAACAAGAAGAAAUGGUAAAGAGAUGCCAAGUGGGAGAGGAAACUACGGAUGCAGAGAGAGGAUCUGGGAUAAAGAGAACAAAGAUGCGUGGUCGACUUUAUGGAAACUCGUUUCUUUUUAAUAAGUUAGCCAAGUGAAGCAGUGGGAGUGGAGAAGGAACAAAGAAAUCUGUAAAGUAGUUGUGAUCAAUUAGUUGUAAACACCACUGCACUCAGACUCAGACCAGCUUGCAUUGAUUUUUAUGACCUAAUCUCAGAGGUUGUACAGCGUCACUUCCACUGUACUCUACUUGUUGAAGCAGCUACAAAAACACCACAUUUAAGUAAAGGGGACACUAAUUGGGAGGAGUGUUAGUCACAUUAUAAGAAGAGCAUGUGGAAUGAGAGAUUAAGUAGAGAUAUUAUUGCAGUCAUUUAAGGAAAAUAUAAUCUCCCAUAAUAUUAAUAUCUGUUUUCCUUUUGUAAAAAAAAAAUGUACCAUUUCAGGCUGAGCAUGUUGGCUCAUGCCUGUAAUCAUAACAUUUUGGGAGGCUGAGGCCAGUGGAUCACCUGAGGUCAGGAAUUCGAGACCAGCCUGGCCAACAUGGCGAAACCUCGUCUCUGUUAAAAAUACAAAAAUUAGCCGGGUGUGGUGGCAGUCACCUAUAAUCCCAGCUACUCGGAAGGCUGAGGCAGGAGAAUCGCUUGAACCCAGGGGCGGAGGUUGCAGGGAGCUGGUACCACCACUGCACUCCAGCCUGGAUGACAGAGUGAAACUCUGUCUCAAAAAAACAAAACAAAACAAAAACUAAAAUGUACCAUUUCAGAUUUUUUUUCUGAAAUUAAACCUGAAAAGGUCAAAAAACACAUAAAUUACAGUCCCUUUCAAUUACUUACCAGGUACAGGUAUUGUUUAAGUCUAUAGAAGUUCAGACUAUAGUAGUUCAAAAUACCUUAUACAGGGCAGCUUAUAAAAAGCAGAAGUUUAUUUCUCAUAGUUCUGAAGACUGGGAAGUCCGGGUUCAAGGUUCUGGCAGAUUCAGUGCCUGUCGAGGGACUGCUUUUUGGUUCACAGAUAGUGUCUUCUAGCUGUCUCCUCAUGUGGUAGAAGGGUGCCUUUUUUAUUAGUACCCCUAGUUUUAUUUAUUUUAUUUUAUUUUUUAGAGACAGGGGUUUUACUAUGUUGCCCAGGCUAGCCUCAAACUCCUGGGCUUGAGCGAUCCUCCCACCUCAGCCUCCCAAGUAGUUGGGACUACAGGCACAUGUUAAAACACCUGGUUCCUAUUAGUGGUUAUUUUAUAAAGGCACUAAUCUCAUCUGUGGCACCAGAGCCCUCAUGACCUAAUUACCUCCCAAAGAUCCCAUCCCCUAAUACCAUCAUAUUGGUGAUGAGGUUUCAAUACAUGAAUUUGGGGGGCUGGGGACACAAACAUUCAGACCACAGUAGUUGUUACAUUGAUAUGAGCUGGUAAGUGUUAACACCUGGCAGCAAUCAGAUACCCAGCCAUAGGUGAAGGCAGGUGAUUAGAAUUACCAGCCAACACAUUUAUGUGCUAGCUAAUUUUUAUUCAAAACUUUCUGAAGCUACAUUCAAAGCAGUUAAUGGGAAAUGGAGUAAAAAAAUAGGCAACCUCUCACUCUAGAUAAUGCUGUUAAAAGUAAUUUUUCCUCCCAGUCCUCUCCUGUAAUGAAUAGUAUAAGAAGGUAUCCUCCCAACGUAGAGGCACCUUGUGUUUCCAAAGUUUUAAUUAGUUGUCAUGAUAAUUUUAUGUGUCAACUUGACUGGGUUAAGGGAUGCCCAAAUAGGUAGUAAAACAUUAUUUCUGGGUGUAUCUGUGAAGGUGUUUCUGGAUAAAAUUAACAUUUGAAUGGGUAGACUGAGUAGAGCAGACUGUCCUCCCCCAUGUGGGUGGCCCUUAUCCAAAUGGUUGAAGGCUAAAAUAGAACAAAAAAGCUGAGUAGAGGGGAUUCCCUCUGCCUGACUACCUUCGAACUGGGGCGGUGGCUGUUUCCUGCCUUUGGACUUGAACUGAAACAUCAGCUCUUCCUGAGUCUUGAGCCUCCUGGCUUUUGAACUGAAACAACAGUAAUGGCUCUCCUGGUUCUCAGGCAUUUGGACUUUGACUAGAACUACACCAUCAGUUCUCCUGGGUCUCCAGCUUGCCAAUCUCCAGUUUGCCAACUGCGGAUCUUGGGACUUGUCAGCCUCCAUAACUCCAUGAACCAAUUUUUUGUAAUAAAUCUCUUUCUAUAUGUCUAUUUAUUCUGUUGGUUCUGUUUCUCUGGAGAACCCUAAUGCCAUACAUAAUUUUUAAAAAAAAAAAAACUCUUUCCUUCUCUGUUUUUCUCUUAUACUUUUGUGAGUGUAGUGAUAGGCCAAAUCACAUAAGUGCUAAUAAAUACUUUUCCAACAAGUACUUAACCUUGUUUAGGUGAUAAUCACUUGUCUUACCUUUGUGUUCAGAAGAAUUCCCAAUUCCAACUUUCUUAGGUAUUUAUUGAAAAGCAGGAGGAGGGUUCGGUGGAGGGAAGAAGAGAUGGAAUAGGAUUUAGGAUCAUUGCAAAGACCGAGGUAGUUGGGGAACAUAAAGGUUUUAUGUUGCCUUUCUUCUUCCUCCUUAUCAUUGAAGGUCUCCUCCUCCCUCCUGCUCCCCAUCACACACCCUCACAUGCCCCCAUGUGGCCUCUUACUAAACAGGGAGAGAAGAGAAGAGCUGGAGAAAUGGAAGUAUUUUGUAUUGGUAAGCCCAAGCAGCAGCAUGCUGAGAAAAGAGGAGUUUUUAUGGCCCCUGGCUACCCAUCUGGAAUAAACAGUUCUAUUUCCAAAUGGCUAUUUCUAUGCCAAUGUAAAAAGACAUAGAUAAUGCAGAUUAUUGUGUAGACAUUACUAAUAUUCAACAAUAUCUCGUUUUCCUCUUCUUCCAGGCAUACUGAAGACUAUAUUUCUCAGCUGCCUUUGCAGGUGGGCAGGGUCAUGUGACUAUUAUGACUAAUAAAAUGUGAGCAAAAGUGACGAGUCACUUGUGGGCUGAGGCAGUGAAAAGUUGUUUGUGAUUCUCAAAUCUCUCUUCUGUUCUGCCAUUGCAAUUGUGGAAGGAGCUUUAUGUUGAAACGGAAGAGCCAAAAGAUUGAAGUAGUCUAUGUCUCAGUCACCAUAUGGGAGGGCAAAUGCCCUGGAGAACCACCCAGA